AUUAUAGCCCCUAUUUAUGGGGUAAAUCAAAUUACAGAACUUAAAAUUGUUUCUGCAAACGUUCCAGGUUUAAUGACUGGUUUAUGAUAAAAUAGUUGGAAUGUUUUUUUCCCCUGACCAUCCUGCUGUCUUGAGGAUUUGGUCCAUUGGUACAUCCAACUGCAUAGCUGCUGAUGUAGCUGCAGCCCUGGUGGAAUGAGAUUUUAAAAUAUUAUUAUGCACCCCAGCCUGUAUUAGAACCUGUUUCAGCCAUCUUGAGAUGGUCUGGACCGUCACUUUUUUGUGUGGUUGCUUGUGGCUGAUUAAAAGUGCCUUCUCAUUGCCUCUGAUGAUAUUCGUGUUCUCCAUGUAUAACAACAAAUGUCUUACUAUACAGAGACGAUCAUCUGUUGGGUAAGACCUAAAUUCUAUAUUGAGGCCUGCUGAUCCCUGUCUGUUCUGCUUAACUAAUUCAUAAAUAUGAAACGUAAUAUUUCCAGAUGAAGAAGUCAUGUUGUCCAGUCUUAAUUUAUGUAACGACUGUACCCUUUGUGCCGUGACCAAAGCCAUUAUCAUGACUGUUUUUAAUGUCAGUCUAUGUAGGGACAGAGCUGUUGCUGGAGACCAAUUCCUGAGCAUAGUCAGGACAAUACUCACAUUCCAUAUUUGAGAGUACCUGGUUCUUGGGGGAUUGGUAUUAAAAAUUCCCCUCAUAAGUUUUGUUACCAGGGGGUGAGUCCCAACAGAAUGACGCUCUGUUCCUUGCCAUAGAUAAGUUGAUAGGGCACUUCUGGUGCAGUUGAUGGCACUAUAACUGAGCCCCUCAUCAUAAUGGAGGCCUGCAAGGAAUUCCAGAACAGACGGGAUGUUCAUUAAUCUGUAGGUGAUGCUGUUUCUGUGACAAUACAGCUCCCAUUUCCUGAUAUAGACCAGAUACUGUUUUUUGGUGGACUGUCUGUGGGCCGCCGGAAUCAUGUUCACUGUUCGGUCCGUCAGUCCCAGCUGUAGUAGAGGUAUUUUUAGACUCUACAAAUUAAUACAUUCAUAUAUGGUGAUACAUGGUUCUAAUACCAUGUUGAGUAUCACAGGGAACCAUGGUUGAGUAGGCCAAUCGGGUACUACCAAAAUACCAGACGCAGAGUCUUGCUGUAUUUUCCUUAAUGCCCAACUGAUGAGGCAGAAAGGAGGGAAUGCAUAAAUAAACAAUUUCCCCCAAUGCAGCGAAAAUGCAUCUGUCGCCGCUGCCCCAGGGUCUGGUUCCCAUGAAACAUAGUUUGAUAACUGGUGAUUAAGCCUGGAUGCGAAUAGAUCGAUAUCUGGUGUUCCAUACCGUGCUGUAAUAUCAGCAAAUACUUUUUUAUUCAACAUCCAUUCGGUGUUUUCAUUAAAUUUGCGUGACCUGGUGUCUGCCACUAAAUUUAGUUUACCUGGUAGGUAAGUAGCUGAUAUCCAAAUAUGUCUCUGGAUACACCAUUGCCAAAUUGUAUUAGCCAGAUUGUCACAUGAUGUUGAUUUGUUUCCACCCAUGUGGUUGAUAUAUGCUACCAUGGUAGUAUUGUCAAUCUGUAGUCUAACAUGCUGGUGAUAUAACCCAGUACAAUAUGACUUUAGGCCAUGGAAUGCAUCCAACAUUUCCAGGUAGUUUAUGCCCAGUGUUUGUAAUAAUGAUGCCUCCUGUGCAGUCCAUCAACCUCCACAGCUGGAGAUGGAAUUGGUGGCACCCCAACCAAGUGCACUGGCAUCCGUUUGUAGCACCAUAGAAGGGUUGCUGAUUAUGAUUGGAUUGAAACAAACCCGAAUGUUAUCUAUCCACCAUUUUAGUUCCAUUAUAGCUUUGAUUGGUAGCUUCAUGGGUCUGUCAAAAUGACCAGCAUUGAUUUUGAGUGCUCGUAUUUUUGCUUUCUGUAAAUUUUGGUAAUGUAAAGGUCCGAAUUGUGUUGGUGGAAAAGCAGCCACCAUUUUGCCAAUUACUUUUGCGACCAAUCUGAUGGACGGUUUACUGAUGUCAAUGAGGUUAUUGCAAGCCUCUAUUAAGUCUAUAGCCUUUCCCUUUGGCAAAGUCACCGACAUGUGAACUGAGUCAAUGGUGAACCCCAAAUAGUCCUUAGUAGUGGAAGGCGUUAAUUUAGAUUUAACUGGAUGGAUAAUAAACCCGUUUUUCAAAUAACUGUUUUGUGGCUGUUACAGUUUUAGUCAAUUCCAAAGUUUUGCCCACAAUACAUAUGUCAUCUAGAUAUGCCAUGACCAUGUGUUUUCGUUUCCAUAGAAAUGCUAGGGCUGGUUUCAAAUUUUUUGUGAACAGCCUGGGGGCUGAUGUUAACUGAUUUGGCAGUGCUCUAUACUGCCAGAGCUGUCCCAUCCAGUUGAAUUUUAAGUAACAUCUGUGGUCACCUCGUAUAGGCACUGAAUAGUAAGCAUCUUUUAAAUUGAUGCUAGCCAUGAAGUAACCUUUGGAAAUCAAUUGUUUUGCAGUAACAAAGGUUUCCAUUUUAAAAUGAAUAUAUUGUACAAAUGUAUUCAAUUUGGUCAACUCUAUGAAGAUGCGACAACCACCAUCUUUUUUGUUUUUGGUAAAGAUAUGGACACGAAUUCUAGCGGUUCCUGUUGGGAUUUUUCAAUUACCCCUUUUGUGUAAAGCCGCUCCAGUUCAGCAUGCGCUUCUGAUUUUUCUUUACCGGAAAGUACGAACAUUCGGUUCGGUACAUUCAAUUCAAUUCAAUUCAAUUCAACUUUAAUGUCAUCGCACAAAUACAAGUAUGAGUACAACGAAAUGCAGUUUUGCGUCAGUCCGUAGUAGUUGUGCAUAAAGAAAUAAAAAAAAUAGAAAGAGAGAAGAUACAGAAUAAUCAAAAAAUACAGAAUAAUUAAACAAUGGGGACGGAGGGAUCGGAGAAAUCUAUCGGCGGGACUCCGAGUUCAGCAAUGUGAUUGUAUUGUUGUGGAAGCUGUUCCUCAUCCUACUAGUACGUGACCUGAGGCUCCUGUACCGCCUCCCUGAUGGGAGGAGGACAAACAGUCCAUGCUGAACUGGAGGGCUGUAUUUGCGUAUAAAUUCUAUGGUAUAUCCCUGGAUACUGCUUAAACAUACUCCAUGCAUCCAGAAAGAAGUGUAAUCUCCCCCCAACCUCCAUGCUCCCUUCAAUUUAUAGGGAACCAGGCCCACCUAUCUCCAUAGUUACCAGUGGCAGGUUUACUUAUUUUUGAAAAUCCUUCGUUGAUGUUGAGGCGUCGGUGUCUGGGUUUGUGGUUGGGUUGGUGUUGGAGGUUUGCGUAUUUUCCAAAAAGGCCGGCCUGGGCCAUGGCCUAAAAAAGACUCAUGUUCGGUGUACCGGACCUUUGAGCUUUCACCAGUUUGUCUUGUUCUACUGGUGGGUGCGUAAGGAUGCAGGUGGAGGCAUUGACAAAGCGACGGUACAGAUCUCAGGCAAAAUUAUGUUUGGCUCAUUCGCCAGUUGCUUAGAGUGAGACUACUGAAAGUGUGGAGAGCGUAGUUUACAUACAAACUCUGAAAGAGAGAUGGAUGCACUACUAGGCAAGAAAAUGGGAGUGGAACUAAUUGGACAGCAAGUUGCAAGCGACAAGAGCUGCACGAUGGACCGAAAUAUCUCUUUCUUGGCCGCUAGAAUUAGUCGAGUUCUGGAAUGAUUUUACUGAUCACGAGGAAGUCUAGCAGUUAUUGAUUCUAUUUUGCCGAUUAGCAAGUAAGACGUCGAGUGACAGGAGUGUCUGGUUUUGAUGUUAAUUGUCCAUUGCGAGCACUUGGCUCAACUAACUACUCGGUCCUCCAUGCUAACACGCUCCCAUCCCACUGGGAAUGCCGGUGAAGUCUUUGGUUGUGCCUCUAUUACCUCUUUCUGGAGCGAAAACGUGACCUUUGUUGACGGAGACGUAUCUGUUGUAUAAAACCUCCAGUCAGAUUUAACAGCAAAGAGGGAGGAGUAUGGCAUCGCGCUCUGCAUAGGGCAGAAGGCAGAGAUCAAAAGACACAGCACGAGCGUCCAACAAGCAAAGCGACGUCGAGAAGACUUUCGUUGCUUCACAGGCGACGUCUUCGGCUUCAAGGACAGCGAUCGUCGCCAAGGCAGCGAGAGCUCCUUUUGGAUACACGAAUAAUGAAGAUACCUGUGCUUAUAAGUGGCAUCCGGCUGGUGGUUGCUGAGUGCCGCAGUGAGCUAAGAAUACUUCGAAAUGGUGAUCCGCUUCGAUUCCCACACGGUAACGCUGUUCGUGGUCUUCAACGUUCUCUGGUCUCAGGAAUCAGCCUUCCCAGAGCUGGGAAGCUACCCUAGUUCAAGAAUCUUUGGACCACAUCCUACUUAACUACUGGACUGAAAACUACAUACAGCCUUUUUUCAACUGUUAAUCAGCAGUGAAAGCUUAUCAGCAUCAAACCCCAAUCCAACAUGUGGUGAAGGGAAUGUUGUGGUGACCCAUUUGGUUCCACAUAAAUGAGAGUCUGAUGUUUACGCACUGUAAAUAACAUCUCUCUGCAAUGUUAGAAACCCCUGUACUCCUUAUACCUAAUAAAUUUAUUGCAAGCAGCAUGUGAAGUUCACAUUAUAUCAAUUGUAAACGUCAUUGUGUUCAACAGUCUUAAUGAAAUAUCCAAUUCACUCUCUAGAGGACGAAAUGUGUAAAAUUUAGAAAGAGAUUCAGCAUAUAA